rnacentral:rRNA from 1 species
UGAAUACGAGGCACUAAGGUGCUGAAGUAGUGUAUGUCAUACUUCCAAGAAAAGCUUGCACUAUCGUAAGAUAAAAAUGCCUGUACCAUAACCGACACAGGUGGGUAGGUAGAGUAUACUAAGGGGCGCGAGAUAACUCUCUCUAAGGAACUCGGCAAAAUAACUCCGUAACUUCGGGAGAAGGAGUGCCUUAUUCUAUAAGGUUGCAAUAACAAGAUCCAAGCAACUGUUUAUCAAAAACACAGGUCUCCGCUAAGUCGUAAGACGAUGUAUGGGGGCUGACGCCUGCCCAGUGCCAGAAGGUUAAAGAAGUCGGUUAGCAAUUGCGAAGCUGGUAACUGAAGCCCUGGUGAACGGCGGCCGUAACAAUAACGGUCCUAAGGUAGCGAAAUUCCUUGUCGGGUAAGUUCCGACCCGCACGAAAGGCGUAAUGAUUUGGAUACUGUCUCGGAGAGGGACUCGGUGAAAUAGACUUGUCUGUGAAGAUGCGGACUACCUGCACCAGGACAGAAAGACCCUAUGAAGCUUUACUGUAACUUGAAAUUGAAAUUGGACUUUAUUCGCGCAGUAUAGGUGGGAGGCGUUGAUUAUAAUCUUGUGGGAUUAUUGGAGCCAUUAGUGAGAUACCACUCUUGUAAUGUUAGAUUUCUAACUUUGAAUCAUGAUCUGGUCAAAGAACAGUUUCAGGCGGGCAGUUUGACUGGGGCGGUCGCCUCCUAAAUGGUAACGGAGGCGUACAAAGGUUUCCUCUGAACGGGUAGAAAUCGUAUCUAGAGUGUAAAGGCAUAAGGAAGCUUGACUGUGAGACCUACGAGUCGAGCAGGGACGAAAGUCGGUCUUAGUGAUCUGACGGUACUGAGUGGAAAGGCCGUCACUCAACGGAUAAAAGUUACUCUAGGAUAACAGGCUGAUCUCCCCCAAGAGUUCACAUCGACGGGGAGGUUUGGCACCUGGAUGUCGGCUCAUCGCAUCCUGGGGCGGUAGUACGUCCCAAGGGUUGGGCUGUUCGCCCAUGAAAGCGGUACGCGAGCUGGGUUCAGGACGUCGUGAGACAGUUCGGUCCAUAUCCGGUGUAGGCGUUAGAAUAUUGAGAGGAGCCUUCUUUAGUACGAGAGGACCGAGAAGGACAUACCUCUGGUGUACCAGUUAUCGUGCCAACGGUAAACGCUGGGUAGCUAUGUAUGGAGUGGAUAACCGCUGAAAGCAUCUAAGUGGGAAGCCCACCUCAAGAUAAGUAUUC